AAAAAACCCAACAAAAUCAGAACAAAACGCAGGCCUGCGGUGUUAACAUCUGAACUCGGUUUCAUCCUAACCGCGCCUUUCCUAACCCAAACAUACCAAUCCGCACCUUCAGACUUAACGCUCUGCAGCUAUUGCAUGAACUGUUUGCUGAAAUGUGAUGUGAAGGAGUGCGUUCGUGACUUUCGCUCCUUCUGAAGAGUACGGUGCAGAAAUAUGAAAAGCGCGGCGGAGAACGAGAGGCGUGGGUGAGUGAUUGAUUGAAAGGAAGGAAUUCAAAUAAAGGAGAAAAGCAAAGAGAGAAAGAGAGAAAUGGAGGAAGAGAGGAUAGGCAUCAGCUUUGAUGAUUACUGUCUCCGGCAGGAGAGCUAAUAUUAGCCUACAGAGUAAACAAAACUACGGACUGCGCAGAUACUGUAAUCAAAAGUCUGACUUCCGGAGAAUCGGGGCCAAUUACAGCUCGGAGAGACAGAAAUACAAAUAAGGGAGAGAGAGAGAGAGAGAGAGAGAGAGAGACAGAGACAGAGAGAGAGACAGUGAGGGAGAGACAGAAACACAAAUAAGGGAGGUCGAGAGGGAGAGAGAGAGAGAGAGAGAGAGAGAGACAGUGAGGGAGAGACAGAAACACAAAUAAGGGAGGUCGAGAGGGAGAAAGGGAGAGACAGAAACACAAAUAAGGGAGGUCGAGAGGGAGAGAGACAGAGAGAGAGACAGUGAGGGAGAGACAGAGACAGGCCUUUAAUUUAAAAAACUGUAAUACUCAGGCUGAUACAGGACUUAAGAGGUCACGCUAAUGACAGGAGAAGCUCUAAUGGAGACCGGCGCACGAAAGCCAGUGAUUGGCAAGUGACAGCAUCGAGUGACAGCUGAAACAGCCAGACUCGGUGGCACCUAGAAAUACACGAACACUCAAUGACUCACGCUUGCUAAUUCACGGCCGUAAAUGUGCUUUUAACCAACACAACUUAAACAGAAGAACAAAAAGACAUGCGCCGUCCUCCGUGCAUUACUCAGGCCCGCGUCCUAAUCAGCAUUCCACAUCUCUGAAACAAAGCUUUGCACGUAAUUUAUUGACUGUGCUGGACAAAGAGAUUGAUUCCGGAGUGCUCAUGGGAGUGCGUGAGGUUGUGUAAUGAUAAGUUAUAAAGCACGCAAUGCAUUCAGCUAAAAAUCAUGAGGCUUCGAUGUGCUGACAGAGUGACAGACGACGUGACGUCUCUGGAUCGCUCGACUUCCUUCCCUACGUACCGUAAACAGAAAGAAAGAAACAUCCAUGGUGGGAAGCCGUGAAACAUGUGACCACACUGUAGGCUCGGAGGAACUUCACACAUGACCUUUUGGUUUCAUGGGAUAUGUGAUCUUUUGCUUCUGUGGGAUAUUAUGUGAACAAUAUUUACAUUACAGUUACACAUUACAAAACUAGAUUGAAGCGAGUCUCACAGUAAGACUUUGUGUGGAACACUGAUUCGGGCUGAGGCCAACAUGGUGAUAAAUGAUCUAGUGGUUAAUUAAUUAUAGUUCUAGGCCUAAGUAAUUAUUCAUUCUGAUUUAUUAACUCUGAGGUAAAAGUAACUGUAAACAGUGCAAUUCCUUCUGUAAUGUGCAUGCUUUUUUUUAUUUUAUUGCAUUUGGG
ensembl:lncRNA